rnacentral:rRNA from 1 species
UUCCUUGAACCGCAUGGUUCAAGGAUGAAAGACGGUUUCGGCUGUCACUUACAGAUGGACCCGCGGCGCAUUAGCUAGUUGGUGGGGUAUAUGGCUCAAUCCAAGGCGACGAUGCGUAGCCGACCUGAGAGGGUGAUCGGCCACACUGGGACUGAGACACGGCCCAGACUCCUACGGGAGGCAGCAGUAGGGAAUCUUCCGCAAUGGACGAAAGUCUGUACGGAGCAACGCCGCGUGAGUGAUGAAGGUUUUCGGAUCGUAAAGCUCUGUUGUUAGGGAAGAACAAGUGCGAGAGUAACUGCUCGCACCUUGACGGUACCUAACCAGAGGAAGCCACGGCUAACUACGUGCCAGCAGCCGCGGUAAUACGUAGGUGGCAAGCGUUGUCCGGAAUUAUUGGGCGUAAAGGGCUCGCAGGCCGCAAGGUUUCUUAAGUCUGAUGUGAAAGCCCCCGGCUCAACCGGGGGAGGGUCAUUGGAAACUGGGAAACUUGAGUGCAGAAGAGGAGAGUGGAAUUCCACGUGUAGCGGUGAAAUGCGUAGAGAUGUGGAGGACACACCAGUGGCGAAGGCGACUCUCUGGUCUGUAACUGACGCU